UACGUAGGGUGCAAGCGUUAAUCGGAAUUAUUGGGCGUAAAGAGCUCGUAGGCGGUCUGUCGCGUCGGCUGUGAAAACUCGGGGCUCAACUCCGAGCUUGCAGUCGAUACGGGCAGGCUAGAGUUCGGCAGGGGAGACUGGAAUUCCUGGUGUAGCGGUGAAAUGCGCAGAUAUCAGGAGGAACACCGGUGGCGAAGGCGGGUCUCUGGGCCGAUACUGACGCUGAGGAGCGAAAGCGUGGGGAGCGAAGCAGG
rnacentral:rRNA from 1 species